rnacentral:misc_RNA from 1 species
GUAGGGAUCCCAUCUCAGCUGCGUUUAACUGCUUGUGUCAUGGCAGAUUGGUUUCUGUGCUUUCUCUAUGGAUGUUCCUUGAAAAUUCACAACAAUGGAAGUAGAACUUGAAACCUCUAGAUUCUCAGGACCUCAACUUUAGCACAAGGCUAAAGCCACAUUGGCCAAUAACCGUUCUUACAUGAAAGGAGUCUUGACAGACUCAUGGGGCAGCAGCGGCCGAGGGAAGAAGUUCUUGCAUGGACCUAAUCCAUCACACUGCAUAUAAACUAAUCACUUACCAAGGAAAAAAAGUUACAAAAUUAUUCAAAUUGUUUUCCUGCACCCAAGGCCUUUAAAUAUCAUAAAAUUACCAAUUAGUAAGUAUCCUACACAAAACUUAUAAAGAAAUCAUUUCAGCAUUCCAGUUGUGGUUAUACAUUGCUGCAGCUUCUCAUUCAAAUCACUAUAGAAAAGGAAUCAAGCAGGUCUCAUUUGAAAAACUCUAUUGUACCA